rnacentral:rRNA from 1 species
AACGAACGCUGGCGGCAGGCCUAACACAUGCAAGUCGAGCGGACCUUUCGGGGUCAGCGGCGGACGGGUGAGUAACGCGUGGGAAUAUGCCCUUCUCUACGGAAUAGUCCUGGGAAACUGGGGGUAAUACCGUAUACGCCCUUUGGGGGUAAGAUUUAUCGGGGAAGGAUUAGCCCGCGUUGGAUUAGGUAGUUGGUGGGGUAAUGGCCUACCAAGCCGACGAUCCAUAGCUGGUUUGAGAGGAUGAUCAGCCACACUGGGACUGAGACACGGCCCAGACUCCUACGGAAGGCAGCAAUGGGGAAUCUUAGACAAUGGGGGCAACCCUGAUCUAGCCAUGCCGCGUAAGUGAUGAAGGCCUUAGGGUUGUAAAGCUCUUUCAGCUGGGAAGAUAAUGACGGUACCUGCAGAAGAAGCCCCGGCUAACUCCGUG